UGUAAUAGUAGAAGUUUGUUUUUUGUGAACACGAGAUGAAUGAUGUUAAUGAAAAUAAGACAAUGGCCAUAGAAGAAUACACCAAAUUCAAUUCUCUUAAUAAUUGACUAUCCUUUCCACUCUACCUUGUGAAUUUUACCGAGACGUAGAAGUGAUGAAGCGUCAGUGAUUGGAGAUCGCAAAAGAAGAGGAACAAGUGUACACUAGGGUUUUGGGAAUGAGGGUUUCCGUUUUAUAUAAAAUAUUAAGUAAAGCAAAGUUUGGAGAUAAUAGGUUGUUAAUUAAAUCUAUUCUAAGAGAGUUAUAUAUAGUAAUCUGUAAUUAGGGUUAUAACGAAAUAAUUGACUCAAACAAAACAAUCCUUAACAUUACAGUCUUUUGAGAGUUAGGAUUUAGACGGCGUAAGACAAUAAUUAAAAUGAUCAAAAACCCUUAAAUGACUGGGGU
rnacentral:lncRNA from 1 species